rnacentral:rRNA from 1 species
CAGUGCCAUCGGACCGCGUGCCUCUAGCGGCGGGACGGCCCGGCGUCGUCCCUGGGGUCGGUGGCGAAACGGCCGGCAACCUGUCCGACCCGUCUUGAAACACGGACCAAGGAGUCUAACAUGUGCGCAAGUCGUUGGGCGUUACGAAACCCGAAGGCGCAAUGAAAGUGAAGGCCCGGUCUUGUGCCGGCCUGGGUGGGAUCCGGACGGUCGCGGCCGUCCGGCGCACCACCGGCCCGUCUCGUUCGUCGCGUCGAAGAGGCGGAGCAAGAGCGUACACGUUGGGACCCGAAAGA